AGCAGCCGCGGUAAUUCCAGCUCCAAUAGCGUAUAUUAAAGUUGUUGCAGUUAAAAAGCUCGUAUUUGAACUUCGGGAUCAAUUAGUUGGUCAUGCCUUGGUAUGUACUGAUUUUAUUGGUUCUCACCUUCUAAAGAACUAUAAUGUCAUUUAUUUGAUGUUAUAGGGAAUUAGGACUGUUACCUUGAAAAAAUUAGAGUGUUUAAAGCAGGCUCACGCUUGAAUACAUUAGCAUGGAAUAAUGAAAUAGGACAUCGCAUUCUAUUUUGUUGGUUUCUAGGAUCGAUGUAAUGAUUAAUAGGGAUAGUUGGGGGCAUUAGUAUUCAAUUGUCAGAGGUGAAAUUCUUGGAUUUAUUGAAGACUAACUACUGCGAAAGCAUUUGCCAAGGGUGUUUUCAUUAAUCAAGAACGAAAGUUAGGGGAUCAAAGACGAUCAGAUACCGUCGUAGUCUUAACCAUAAACUAUGCCGACUAGGGAUCGGAUGAUGUUGUAUUUUUAAUGACU
rnacentral:rRNA from 1 species